UCGCCGUAGAGGGGGAAGUAACUACUGGAAACGGUGGCUAAUACCGCAUAAUGUCUACGGACCAAAGCAGGGGCUCUUCGGACCUUGCACUAUCGGAUGAACCCAUAUGGGAUUAGCUAGUAGGUGGGGUAAAGGCUCACCUAGGCGACGAUCUCUAGCUGGUCUGAGAGGAUGAUCAGCCACACUGGGACUGAGACACGGCCCAG
rnacentral:rRNA from 1 species